rnacentral:rRNA from 1 species
UGCGUACCUUUUGUAUAAUGGGUCAGCGACUUAUAUUCUGUAGCAAGGUUAACCGUAUAGGGGAGCCGUAGGGAAACCGAGUCUUAACCGGGCGUUAAGUUGCAGGGUAUAGACCCGAAACCCGGUGAUCUAGCCAUGGGCAGGUUGAAGGUUGGGUAACACUAACUGGAGGACCGAACCGACUAAUGUUGAAAAAUUAGCGGAUGACCUGUGGCUGGGGGUGAAAGGCCAAUCAAACCGGGAGAUAGCUGGUUCUCCCCGAAAGCUAUUUAGGUAGCGCCUCGUGAAUUCAUCUCCGGGGGUAGAGCACUGUUUCGGCUAGGGGGCCAUCCCGGCUUACCAACCCGAUGCAAACUGCGAAUACCGGAGAAUGUUAUCACGGGAGACACACGGCGGGUGCUAACGUCCGUCGUGAAGAGGGAAACAACCCAGACCGCCAGCUAAGGUCCCAAAGUCAUGGUUAAGUGGGAAACGAUGUGGGAAGGCCCAGACAGCCAGGAUGUUGGCUUAGAAGCAGCCAUCAUUUAAAGAAAGCGUAAUAGCUCACUGGUCGAGUCGGCCUGCGCGGAAGAUGUAACGGGGCUAAACCAUGCACCGAAGCUGCGGCAGCGAACGUAUCACCCAAGACAACUUUACGGAGUUGACGAUUGACGGAGCGAAGCGACGUCAAAGCGUUCAUUAAAGUCGAGUUGGCUUAGGGAUACGUUCGUUGGGUAGGGGAGCGUUCUGUAAGCCUGUGAAGGUGUGUCGUGAGGCAUGCUGGAGGUAUCAGAAGUGCGAAUGCUGACAUAAGUAACGAUAAAGCGGGUGAAAAGCCCGCUCGCCGGAAGACCAAGGGUUCCUGUCCAACGUUAAUCGGGGCAGGGUGAGUCGACCCCUAAGGCGAGGCCGAAAGGCGUAGUCGAUGGGAAACGGGUUAAUAUUCCCGUACUUGGUGUUACUGCGAAGGGGGGACGGAGAAGG